AUCAGAAGUCUAAUCCUGUUUUCCAGUUCAAGGCCCUUCAGAUAUCUAAAGGCAACCAUCUCUCCUACCUCCCUUACCUUGUUUUGUCCCACCUUUAUUCCUCCCCCUACCCCCUCAGGCCUUUCUUCUCCAAUGCACUCAACUAACUGCUUUUCAUGUAACAUCUGUUAGGCUCCUUUGAAGAUGUUCUGGUUUGUCUAAUGGUGAAAUGACUAUGCAAGUCACAACGUUUUUGGUCAUAAAGCUUUACAUAUUCUCAACAUAAGUCCAUAGAAUUGAUUUUCCUUAUCUAUAAAACGGGAAUAGGAAUAGGAAUAUAAUAAGGUU